rnacentral:rRNA from 1 species
UACGAAGGGUGCAAGCGUUACUCGGAAUCACUGGGCGUAAAGCGUGCGUAGGCGGUUCGUUAAGUCUGCUGUGAAAGCCCUGGGCUCAACCUGGGAACUGCAGUGGAUACUGGCGGACUAGAGUGUGAUAGAGGAUGGUGGAAUUCCCGGUGUAGCGGUGAAAUGCGUAGAGAUCGGGAGGAACACCAGUGGCGAAGGCGGCCAUCUGGAUCAACACUGGCGCUGAGGCACGAAAGCGUGGGGAUCAAACAGG